GAUUAUGUUAUAGAUGGUCUAUGCUUAGAUUGCAAAUCUUUAGCUUGAGGUUCGAUUCCUCCAUAAUCU
rnacentral:tRNA from 1 species